rnacentral:rRNA from 1 species
GGGGGGGGGGGGGGGGGGGGGGGGGGGGGGCGGGGCGGGGGGGGGGGCCGUGCGGGGGGGGGGUGCGCGGGGGGCGAACGGGGGGGGAACACGUGAGUAACCUGCCCUUGACUUUGGGAUAACUUCAGGAAACUGGGGCUAAUACCGGAUAGGAGCUCCUGCGGCAUGGUGGGGGUUGGAAAGUUUCGGCGGUUGGGGAUGGACUCGCGGCUUAUCAGCUUGUUGGUGGGGUAGUGGCUUACCAAGGCUUUGACGGGUAGCCGGCCUGAGAGGGUGACCGGCCACAUUGGGACUGAGAUACGGCCCAGACUCCUACGGGAGGCAGCAGUGGGGAAUAUUGCACAAUGGGCGGAAGCCUGAUGCAGCAACGCCGCGUGCGGGAUGACGGCCUUCGGGUUGUAAACCGCUUUCGCCUGUGACGAAGCGUGAGUGACGGUAAUGGGUAAAGAAGCACCGGCUAACUACGUG